rnacentral:rRNA from 1 species
UACGUAGGGUGCAAGCGUUACUCGGAAUUAUUGGGCGUAAAGCGCAUGUAGGCGGCUUUGCAAGUCUGAUGUGAAAUCCCUGGACUCAAUUCAGGAACUGCAUUGGAUACUGCAUGGCUAGAGUAUGAGAGAGGUAGGCGGAAUUCCUGGUGUAGAGGUGAAAUUCGUAGAUAUCAGGAGGAACAACAGAGGCGAAGGCGGCUUACUGGAUCAUAACUGACGCUGAGAUGCGACAGUGUGGGGAGCAAAC